GCCUGGGUGGCUCAGUCGGUUGAGCGUCCGACUUCGGCUCGGGUCCUGAUCUCAUGGUCCGUGAGUUCGAGCCCCGCAUCGGGCU
rfam:Felis catus isolate Cinnamon breed Abyssinian chromosome B1, whole genome shotgun sequence.